rnacentral:lncRNA from 14 species
AGAUGCUUUAAGUGCUGCAAACACAGCUCAGGACUUUCUCUGGCCUUCCAGGGAGGGCUCCUCCAGCAUAUGGCAAUAAUUUGAGUCCUCCAGAUGUUCAGAGGUCCGGAAGAACCCAUAGGCAGCUCUUGCCUGGUACUGGCUGAUAGCUGCUGCUGGGGGAGCGGCUGCCUGGAGUACAGAUAGCAGAUAACAGCCUCAACAGCUGCUCUACAGAUCCUGGACUUGGAAAGUGAGGAACAGACAAGGUAGAUAAGGCUGAACUAAAAGAGGAAUCUCCAAACCUGGAAAACUCCAAGACCACACAGUUGCCAAGGAGGGCUAGAAAAGGUGAAACAGCUGAAUGAAGAGAUUUCAGUAAUAGGAAGGGAAAUAAGAAGAAAUUUACUUUCUUCCCACCCCAAAUAAAGGGCUGUAGUAGUUUCUUCAGCUUUUCUGAAUUCUGGAUGGUAGCAAUACAGUGUGGGUCUAGGAAAUCCCUCUGCCAUUGUACAUGCUUAUGGUUCCUGACCAACAGAGGCAAGAGGAUGGAGGGUGGUGCCCUUGGGGCAAAAUAGUCUUAUGCUGACUGCAGCUGGUAUUGGAGGGCCCUGAAAACACUGCGGCUGUCUGAUCUGAAGAGCAUGUAGCCUCAGAUGGUAUCCCUGUGCAGAUGAU